UCCCGGCGCCACGAGUGGCAAUCACGUUUAUUGGGCCUAAAGCGUUCGUAGCUGGCUUGAACCGUUCUUUGUGAAAUCGUCUGACUCAAUCAGACGGCGUGCAGAGAAUACCUUCGAGCUUGGGACUGGGAGAGGUAAGAGGUAUUUCUGGGUUAGCGGUAAAAUGUGUUGACCCCAGAAGGACCACCAAUAGCGGAGGCAUCUUACUAGAACAGGUCCGACAGUGAGGGACGAAGGCUAGGGGAGCAAAAGG
rnacentral:rRNA from 1 species